AUUUCUGGAUUCUUUGGAAAUGUGAUUACUUACAACCUGUCUUUAACAUGUAGGAAAACCGUUUUACUUCGAUUAUUUCACAUCAAGUUCGCAACUUGCAAAAUUAAGUGGAGGAUAGGCAGUUUUCUUAAUAAACUAAUACAGAAAACAACAUUGGCUUAAUUUCAGAGUAAUCUUUUUAAAUACAUUAUUUUUAUAGUUAACUGGAACCACUUUUCCAAUUUGUAUUUAUUCAGAGGAAAAAUUUUUAAAAGUCACCUUGGACUGAAGACCAGCAUCAGUUUAUAUGGUGUGAGUUCUUUCCAUUUGCCUUAGAUUGCACCUACACUGACAGAAGAAAGUAAAAAGGUAAGCAAUUAUCUUAGGAUUGUACUAGUAAAAAUUAUAUCAAUUAUAUCUACUUGGUGUAGACAGCCCAGCCUGUCUUUCAGCAUAGGAAAAUUGGUCAUGGGUAGAUUUUUCAGGGUGACUUAGUUUGAGACCAAGAAAUAGUCAUUGCUGUUUUUGUCAAGUAUAAAAUAGAUUCCAGAAUGCAUUCCUUCAUCCUCGAAGGCCCUUCUCAUUAGCAUUGGACCUAAUUAUCUAGAUAUAAUUUGUUAAAGGUUUUACACUUCUUUAAAGAAGGCUACUGAGUCACCAGCAUUUAAUAUUCAUUCAUUCAUUCAUUCAUUCAUUCAUUUAACAACUAUUCACUGAGCACCUACUAUCUGCU
rnacentral:lncRNA from 1 species